rnacentral:lncRNA from 1 species
CUGACAUGGUAAUUAUAUACAUUUUCAACCCCAUCUUUUAUUUGUACGCCCAGCUUUUUUUGUAUGUGUUGACUUGUAUGUAAGACACUAUGAAGCAUAUUAAUGUUGGGAGUGUCAAAAACAUUUAUAUAAUUUACAAAUUCUUCAGAUACAUGAAUUUAGGAAUGGUUGAAACCAAUUAAGGAUAAUGGAAUUUUUAAAAUAGAAAGCUGUUUUGCAUUUUGCAACCAGUAUCCAGGGAAGAAAAGGUAAUAAAAUUAAAAGGGGGAUAGUAAGAUGAACAUGAUAUUUUGCUCAUGUAGUCAAUACUUGACGUCCAUUCCUACAUUCUUCUCUUAGACGAGUUCUCUUUUUUUGUCGAGGAAUAAAAAUAUGUACAUGUUGUGUUAUAUGUUGACAUCAAUGCGUUGAAUAAGCUGAGACUUUGUUACAGCCGAUCCAUCCAGAAGGUGGUGAAUUAUUCACUGUUUGGUUGGCAGGAGGCCUAGGUGGGGAUGAAAGGCCUGGCUUCCACCCCAGUAGGGCUGAGGGAUGGGAGGGAAACAGCUCGCUGUGCCUGCCCUCCAUCACUCCUAGCACCGAGGUAGCUUAGCAUAGUUAGUGGUCUAACAGCAGUUUGUUCAUUAACGGUCCCUUGCUGGGUGACAACAUCCAGUCAGUGUCAAUUAGACAGUAGCAGUUGAACAGGUGGGAAUGUGCCUGCUGGGAGGAGAAGAAUCAUUAGGAUGAGCGAUGAAAGCCAUAAAGCACAGCAGCUUCAUCUGAGGUUAGCGACUGAUGUGAUGAGCCAUGGUCAUUGGCACAGCAAAGACAACACUGCUUCAUGAACAAUUUUGGUCAUGCACUGAAAGAGUAGCAGAGUGGGAGGAGAAGCUGGUUCCACGUUGUCUUCCUCACCGUAAACUCUUGUUUCAAUUUAUUUUUAUAUUUUCAAUGUUCCUCAACAUAGAAAGACAGAAGUCCCACGGGAUGAAAAGAUUGCAACUUUGCACAAAAAUGUACAUCUGGUAUGCCUUGUAGCUCUAAAUGCUAUGUUACCCAUGAGCUUCUGUCGUGGUUGCUGUAGUAAAUUCAUUUAAGC